AGAUCGAACUAUAGAGUUUGAUCCUGGCUCAGAUUGAACGCUGGCGGCAUGCCUUACACAUGCAAGUCGAACGGUAACAGGUUAAGCUGACGAGUGGCGAACGGGUGAGUAAUAUAUCGGAACGUGCCCAGUCGUGGGGGAUAACGCAGCGAAAGCUGUGCUAAUACCGCAUACGAUCUACGGAUGAAAGCGGGGGAUCGCAAGACCUCGCGCGAUUGGAGCGGCCGAUAUCAGAUUAGCUAGUUGGUGGGGUAAAAGCCCACCAAGGCGACGAUCUGUAGCUGGUCUGAGAGGACGACCAGCCACACUGGAACUGAGACACGGUCCAGACUCCUACGGG
rnacentral:rRNA from 1 species